rnacentral:rRNA from 1 species
GAUGAACGCUAGCUACAGGCUUAACACAUGCAAGUCGAGGGGCAGCAUGGUCUUAGCUUGCUAAGGCCGAUGGCGACCGGCGCACGGGUGAGUAACACGUAUCCAACCUGCCGUCUACUCUUGGACAGCCUUCUGAAAGGAAGAUUAAUACAAGAUGGCAUCAUGAGUUCACAUGUUCACAUGAUUAAAGGUAUUCCGGUAGACGAUGGGGAUGCGUUCCACUAGAUAGUAGGCGGGGUAACGGCCCACCUAGUCUUCGAUGGAUAGGGGUUCUGAGAGGAAGGUCCCCACAUUGGAACUGAGACACGGUCCAAACUCCUACGGGAGGCAGCAGUGAGGAAUAUUGGUCAAUGGACGAGAGUCUGAACCAGCCAAGUAGCGUGAAGGAUGACUGCCCUAUGGGUUGUAAACUUCUUUUAUAUGGGAAUAAAGUAUUCCACGUGUGGAAUUUUGUAUGUACCAUAUGAAUAAGGAUCGGCUAACUCCGUGCCAGC